UACAGAGGGGGCAAGCGUUAUUCGGAAUUAUUGGGCGUAAAGGGCGCGUAGGCGGCUUUGCAAGUGACGGGUGAAAUCCCUCGGCUUAACCGAGGAACUGCCUGUCAAACUGCAUGGCUUGAGACCAGGAGAGGUGAGUGGAAUUCCCAGUGUAGCGGUGAAAUGCGUAGAUAUUGGGAGGAACACCAGUGGCGAAGGCGGCUCACUGGACUGGUACUGACGCUGAGGCGCGAAAGCGUGGGGAGCAAACAGG
rnacentral:rRNA from 1 species